AACAUGCAAAUGGAAAUGAUCAGACUCAUUUUAAUUUAUGUGAUUCAUUGAUUUAUUACGAUACUGAUUGGGUAAGAAAACAUGUUUAUUGGACAUAAAGCUCCAGCUUUGGAGCUGGCACAGACAGAACCCAACAGGCUUGCAGCUGUAAUUGCAAAUGAUGUCCUCCAAAGUCUUAAUUCAAGGGUUGCUGAAUAAAAAAAGCACUCCACACUUUUCAGAUUUUUAUUCCUAAAGGAUUUUGAUGUAGGAUUUGGUCCCGUGUAACAUGUUGAGAAUAUUUCAGCUGUUCUAAAUGUGUGUUAUAUUUUGUGGAUGUUAUCUUUACUUGCUGAAGUGAGGUUUGAGUACUGCUAUAGGCGAGUGUUGAUUUUGGAACAUCACUCUGUUCAUACUGACAUACUGGCUUCUCAGAGGUGCAUUAAGUUUACAACUGACUAUAAACCUUUACUCAGAUUUAGUAGCAGACAAGUCUGAUUUCAAAUGAAAGAUUUAAAAUACUUUACUCAAGUAUAAGUAAAUGUUCAGGUUUCGCUAACUACUUAAAAAAGUACAAAGUACAGCCACAUUGUACUCAAUUAUAGUAACACAAGUAAAUGUCUCAAGUUACCUUCUGGUUUUAUAUAUGAACAGUCUUUAAAGCAGAACAGAUUACAUUUUUUUUAAAGCAAAUGUACAGAAAUAACUCCUUGUUUGGAAACUGUGUGAUUGCCUAUUGAGAAUUGAUGCAAUUAAACUAAAUCCUAUCAACAUUUCCCAUUACAUUUAACGAUAUAUUUCAACAUAUUUUCAGAGCAGUGUUACUGGAUCAAACUCCUCCCAAUUCAAGCAGAUGGGAAAUGGGCUGGGAUGGAAAACGGUUGGAUGGGAUUCGAGGGAAAGCAGCCUGACUAAAUGAAGCCGACCGGCUGCUUGGCUAAUCAGUGAAAAUUAAUCAGCUGAAAUCAGUGAUAACUCAUAUUAUUAAAUCUUCACCUAUUAGACCCACAUUCUGCUUUCAGCCUAGCUGAUCAGGGCAAGAUGCAAGAACAUCAGUAAAAAGCUAAUUCAUUAGAAAAAAUUCAACUCAGAAAGUAAAACUUUUAUUGCAUACAUGUAAUGUAUUGUAUUGUACACUUCACUGCAUACAAAGUGGUUUUAUUCAGGGGUUUACUUCUGUUAGAUUUAUAGCUUAUGGCUAAUAAAAACCCAAAACUCAGUUUCUCAAAAAAAUAAAUAAAUAAAAAUAAUUAUGCAAUUAAGAAAUGUUAUGGCCUAGCAGACUGUCAUUGACAAGCUUCACAAGAAGCUUAAGCCCAAAAAAAGGUUGUUGUUAAAGAAGCUGGCUGCUCAGAGUGCUGAAUAUUAACAGAAAGUUGAGUAGAAGGUAGACCUGUGGUGGAAAGAAGUUUAUAUGCAAUAGAAAUGACUUUUAUUUUAAGAGUCUGCAUAAUGUCUCUAAUAUAUCUCCUUCCAAAGGGGCUUAAAGUGAGGAAUCUAACAGAUUCAGCUAAAGUCCUAGAUAUGUCUGUAAGUUAUAUCUCUUAAAGCACAGACUCCAGCUCUUUCCUAAACUCUUCAACAUUUUUUUUUACCACAGUUCUUCCUUCCACUAAACUCUCCAAUAUAAAUAUUUAUAUACAAAUAAAUCUUCUGGGGAGAAUUCAUUUUAGGUUCAUUAUAAACAAUGAUCAUCAAAAUUAAGAGAUACAUGCGUGCAAUGUAUAUAACACUCUCUGGAAUUAAUUUUCAUUUAUUUUCUGAAUUACUGAAAUAAAACGGAACUUUCCAAUGUUAUUCUAUUUUUUAAACGCUUCUGCAUUUGACCGGACGGCUCCCAAAAGCCAAAGUGUCGUGACACUCUAACCCCCUCUUGUGGCAGAACAAAGAAAAACGCCAACAAGGGAUACAAUCAACACCAGCUGAGGCACACCUGUGGACUGCACUUCUAAUGGAGGAAAACAGGAGGAAGAAGUGGGAUCAGAUAAGCAACACUGCACUGUCACAUCAGUCGCUUCAUGGCCACAUGAGGAUAAAGAGCCGCUGAGGUAAACAUCACUGCUGAGGUCAAGAUUGGCUAAUUGCUAAUUGGCUGGGAGUACGGUAGUUUUCACCCACUGGCCAGAAAGGAACUCUUUUAGGACAACUAGACAGAUAAUGGUGCUUAGCAGAGGCUCAGUCUCACCUUUACUCUCUGGCCCGUCUAAAGCUGAGCCCCUGAUGCAGCAGACAAACGUGCACCGUCCAGAGUCACACGUGAAGCAGCAAAAUGGAAGAUGGCUGCAGUACUGAGGUUAGCGAUAAUAAUAGAUCCGACCAUAUGGACUUUUAAUGGAAAGUUUUAUUGCAUCUUUUUUUUUAAACUUUUUGUUUGGUUUCAGUGUAUUUGAGUAGAGUUUAUACAGAUAUGUUUUAAGCUGGGAUUUUUAAAAAACUCUUUUUACAGAUCGGUUAUCAGAACUAGUGAUGGCCUGUCGAGUCGUACACACAUCAGUACAAAACUCAACAGAGAGAAAAUGUCUGACAAAUCAAAUAUUUACAGCUUUUGGUCUCUUUAUCCACCUUAAUCUUCUCAAAUGUUAUAGGACUGAUUGUAGUGGAAACUUUUGGUAAGAGCACAAGUUGCAAUGAAGUAAUUUAGUUUUAUAUAAGUACAAAGUUGAUUUUUUUUUUUUUUUCAACUUUUCUGUUUCAUACAGGGCUAACUUACAGGUUAACUUGUGGCUACAGCAGAUGUGUGUUGAAUCAGAAUCAACUUUAUUAUUAGCAAUUUGACUUUGUUCACAGUUUCUAUCCAUCCAUUAUCUUGUUUUUCUUGGGUAUCCCAAGGCAUUCCCAGGCCAGAUGAGGAAUUAUACAAACAAGGAUAGAAAAUAUUAAAUUUGAAGUUAUUAUUAAAACUUGCAUGUUUGCCUCCAUCACUUUGUCAACAAAUGGUCCAGGGAGGAAUAUUUUUUUGUGGUUGGUCCAAGAAGAAUUGCCUUCUGAAAACGACUGAAAAAGAAUGUGAGCUAUGAUGUUCAGUAUCAGAAAUAAAGAGUAAAGCAGUGUUUGUAUUUUAUGAUACACAACUUUUAGAAAUGCAUCACGUCCAACAGUUGUUCACUAAACCCCUAAGACAACGGUUCUCAGUCCUCAGGGUCCAGCUGCAUGACUGAAAAGACCAAACCUGGUCUUGCAAACACAAAGAGCCAGUGUAUGUGUCUCUCCAGAACACAACACCGGUGUAAGGUGAAUAAAAAUAUGCCCAACCUCAUUAAAGAAAACAUGCCAAACUAUAUGACCGUGUCAGAAAAAAAUCUGGUGCGCCGCAGGAGUUUUAAGCAUCUUCAUAGCUGAUUUAUAUUGACAGAGUUGGAGAAGCUGCUAAAAAUGAGAGUAUGAUUAGAAGCUAAUAUUCAUAAUAGGCUAUUUCUUCAGCUCAACCUUCCAAUCUUUCAAAGAUAAAGGUACAGCUGUGAUUACAUUAUCCUGUUUAAGUUGUAGAAGUUCAGGUUCCCACGUGUCUCAUCUGUAUUUGCUUAAAUCAAGUAAGCAACGCGAGUCCUCGCCUGCCACUGUCCUGCUACUUUUGGUAGCAUCCCAGGUCCAACAUAACACAAUGAAAAGCCUAAAAUGCAUCUUUAACAUGUCAGCCAGUUUUGCAAAGACCUGCUCAUUAACUAUUUAUUUGAUUCAGAUGUAUUGGAGCAGGAAUGAAUCCAAAAGUUGCAGGACAAUGGCAGUUGAGAACUGGAGCUGCAGACCUCUGGUUUACAUGUAAUUAGGUUGUUUAUCCACAAAGCAUCAUGGGUCAUAUAAGAAAAGUGAACAAACAGUGACUAUUCUUCUAAAGGUUUUUCCAGUUUGUG